CGUUUUGAUUUUGUAGUGUUAGGUUAAAGUUAUUUAGGUUAAACUUAUUCUUUCUGUGUCGACCACCAAAAAUUUCUUCUUCUCUUCUUUCUUCUCUCGACGCCACGACUAACGACUUCACUUCAGUUCAGAGUUCAGUCAAUCCUCAGUCCUCUCAUGGUCACGUUCCUUCACAGUUCCAAAUUUCUCUCUUGUGAGUCGCAUCGGCGGCCGUCGAGCCUUUGUCCCUCAGCGGCUCAGCCUCACUUGCUUUCAGUCCUUCCUCCAUCCAUAGUCACUCUUGUCUCGCCAGUCGCCGCAGUUUGCCAGUCACUGCUCACUUUCACUCUAGCACUUCCUACCAGCUCUCUGCCUCACUCGGUCUCUCAAUCUCCUGGGUCUCCUCAGUCCUCAGUCCACGACCAGUCUCUCUCUAGUCAAUUGUCCCUUCAGUCCCUCUCCAGUCUCCACAGUCUUGCAUCCCUCUCCAUUUUCUGGCUGCAUCAGGGACUAAGGGUGGUUCAAGUGGUUCCCCAGUGAUUGAUUGGCAAGGCAGGGCUGUGGCCUUGAAUGCUGGCAGCAAGUCUUCUAGUGCUUCUGCAUUUUUCUUACCUUUAGAACGAAUAUGGUCAGGGGUAAAGGUAAAGAAGAUGCACGUAAUGCUGAUCGUGGUGUUUUAACGGGUACAGGUAGAGGCCGAGGCCGAGGUGAUCCAGAAAUUGUUCGUGGUCGAGGCAUUAUAACCACUGCACCUUCUUCAGUUGACUUUAGAGCCCCAGCACUUACUCCAACAACCCCUGUAUCAUACUUAGCCCCUGCAGCCCCUCCACUUGCUCCAGUAGCCGAUAGCUCAAAUGCGUAGAAGAGAAGUAAUUUCUCACGUACUUAAAUAAUAUAUUUUAUGAUAUGAAUUUGAAACUAUUUGGAUCCAUUAUAUAUUUUGAGAUAUUUUAAGUUUUUUAGUAUUGAACUAUAGUAAUGUUUUGAACUUUUAGAUUGCAGAAUCAUGAAAUGAAAAUUAUGUGUAUAUAUUGUCUUUGA